ACCCUUUUGUAGUUCAUAAGCAUGAUGCAGUCUUUCAGGUGUAUGUGUGAGAUGUGCCUCCCCAAAUCUUGUUCAGACAUUGGCAUAUUACCUCUUUGAUG
ensembl:snoRNA